rnacentral:lncRNA from 1 species
UGGCAGCCAGUUGGUCCAGCCUUUUGCGUUCAACACGUUCCUCCCAUAGCAGCGUUGAUAAAUUUCUCCAUCAAAGGCACUUACAUGUUGCUGCUGCCACGUCCUUGAGCUGCCACAUUAGAAGAGCUCCAGCAAGCAGCAAAGGUCUUGAUCCAGUAGCUUGGGCCGUUCAUUAAAGAAGAGGUGCAGCCCAUGAGUGAUCAAUUCAAGUCCAACACGUGACAGCACACGGUAACAAUGUUCUUUUGGAAAGCAAAGGUAUUAAAAUUGAGGUGUGUGCUUGGAAAUAUGGAUGGCAGCUGCAACCAAUAAAUCACGUGCAGCAAAAUAG